rnacentral:rRNA from 1 species
GUGCCAGCAGCCGCGGUAAGACAGAGGGUGCAAGCGUUGUUCGGAAUUAUUGGGCGUAAAGGGCGCGUAGGCGGCGACUAAAGUCAGCUGUGAAAUCUCUGGGCUCAACCCAGAAAGUGCAGCUGAUACUGAGUUGCUUGAAUCCCGGAGAGGGUGGUGGAAUUCCUGGUGUAGAGGUGAAAUUCGUAGAUAUCAGGAGGAACACCGGUGGCGAAGGCGACCACCUGGACGGAGAUUGACGCUGAGGCGCGAAAGCGUGGGGAGCAAACAGGAUUAGAAACCCUGGUAGUCC